CGCAGCCGCGGUAAUUCCAGCUCCAAUAGCGUAUAUUAAAGUUGUUGCAGUUAAAAAGCUCGUAGUUGAAUUUCGGGAUCAAUAUGUUGGUCGUGCCUUGGUACGUACUGGCAUUAUCGAUUCCUACCUUCUGAAGAACCUCGAUGUCAUUAAUUUGGUGUCUUGGGGAAUCAGGACUGUUACUUUGAAAAAAUUAGAGUGUUUAAAGCAGGCUCGCGCUUGAAUACAUUAGCAUGGAAUAAUGAAAUAGGACGUUUGAUUCUAUUUUGUUGGUUUCUAGGAUCGACGUAAUGAUUAAUAGGGAUAGUUGGGGGCAUUAGUAUUCAAUUGUCAGAGGUGAAAUUCUUGGAUUUAUUGAAGACUAACUACUGCGAAAGCAUUUGCCAAGGAUGUUUUCAUUAAUCAAGAACGAAAGUUAGGGGAUCGAAGACGAUCAGAUACCGUCGUAGUCUUAACCAUAAACUAUAGCCGAC
rnacentral:rRNA from 1 species